rnacentral:rRNA from 1 species
AUACGUAGGGGGCGAGCGUUGUCCGGAAUUAUUGGGCGUAAAGGGUUCGCAGGCGGAAAUAUAAGUCAGGUGUAAAAGGCGGAGGCUCAACCUCCGUAAGCAUUUGAAACUAUAUUUCUUGAGAUAUGGAGAGGUAAGUGGAAUUCCUAGUGUAGCGGUGAAAUGCGUAGAUAUUAGGAGGAAUACCAGUGGCGAAGGCGACUUACUGGACAUAUACUGACGCUGAGGAACGAAAGCAUGGGUAGC